rnacentral:rRNA from 1 species
AUUGAACGCUGGCGGCAGGCUUAACACAUGCAAGUCGAGCGGAAACGGAGGUAGCUUGCUACCAGACGUCGAGCGGCGAACGGGUGAGUAACGCGUAGGAAUCUACCUAGUAGAGGGGGAUAGCCCGGGGAAACUCGGAUUAAUACCGCAUACGCCCUAAGGGGGAAAGCAGGGGAUCUUCGGACCUUGCGCUAUUAGAUGAGCCUGCGUCGGAUUAGCUAGUUGGUAAGGUAAAGGCUUACCAAGGCGACGAUCCGUAGCUGGUCUGAGAGGAUGAUCAGCCACACUGGAACUGAGACACGGUCCAGACUCCUACGGGAGGCAGCAGUGGGGAAUAUUGGACAAUGGGGGCAACCCUGAUCCAGCCAUGCCGCGUGUGUGAAGAAGGCCUCGGUUGUAAG